CUGGAUGACACUUUUCUACAACUAACAACAAUCCUCAGUUACAAAUGCCAAACAGGAAGAGCACAUCUGUGAAAAACAAGCCUCUUAAACUGAACGAAUGAGUAACAAUGAUGUGUGGGUUGUGCUUUCUAUGCAGCAAACUCUGGGAAGACCUUUCUGUGAAGAGCUAUCUGAGAACAAUUGGAGACUCUUUGGUGUUCCUACUCGCCUCCCACAGCCCUUUGUGUCAGCAGCUCAGCAGAGGGAGUCUGACAGCAAGAUUCUUUUGUCAUGUGAAAUCUCAGGUACCUCCAGGACACCCUGCAACAUGUUCCAUGUUGUACACAAUGCAAGCCAUUGGGAAUAUUCAGCAUUGGUACCAACAAGGGGUGUUCUGAUCUGUUCUGUGCCCACCCUGAGUGCAAGAACAACACGGCUCAAGAGCCACCUGUGCACUCCUGCCAUGACAAACACCCUGCAAAGAUCCAUCACACCAUAAAGAACUUCCUUCAUGGAUCCAGGCUGCAGGAUUAUUGCUUCAGUUGUUUCUUUUUACAAAUAGCAAGAAAACAAUGACAUGUCUCUCAAAGUUCACCUGGAGAACAUGCCACAAUCCUGCUUCAUGAGCUGAAGCCUAUGGAUUUCAACUUUGGUUUGGAUUUUGGUUUUCAUAUGCUUAACAAAAUACUUACAAAAACUCAGGUGUUACUGUUAUCAAUAUCUCCUCUAGCAAACUGCAGUAGAUGCUUUGCUAUAUUAGAUCAUAUAUAACUUUGCAUAUUAAAAAAGUAGAUGGAAAUACCAACUUACAUUUAUUUUAAUAAGAUUGUGUAAUUUGAGGUUUAUAGAGCCAUGCAUAAAGCAUUUGUUAUUCCACCUUUAACAAAAUUGAUCCAUUAACUCUGACCAUAUUUUUAGUACAUAGUUUGCUACAAAAGCAUUAGGACACAUUAUGAAUCAUUCUGGCAUUAUGAGAGUUAAUAGAAUACUAUAUAUUUUUCAGGAUUAUUAAUAUUUAGUGUCAUGCAGUAAAUUAAAAAAUCAAGUUUAACUAAGGUUAAAAAUAUCUGAUGAUACAGUACAUAGAUGAUUGUAAAUGUAUAUUAAUGAAGCUUUACACAAUUGACUGGGUAUCUUUUCGUUAAUCACUCACAAACCCAUGCCAAACAUAUAUCAAAGACUUCAGCUCCUUUUUCAUCCAAUCUUCCGACAUUUCAUUAUUAUGGUUACCUGAUUAAUGGAUGCAAUAAUAUAUGUGGCAUGAUAUGAUAUGUUCACAUUAAAUUUUAAUCAAAUAUUACUAAAUUCAGAAAACAUUAAGUAAAUCAUGACUGAUGAGGCAAUAUUGCUGUACUGUCGUAUUGAUGGUUAGAGAAACUCACUAUGGAGUUACAGAUUAAGGAGGAGAAGUAAAUCUUAUGAGGAAAUAGAAGUAUCUCAAGUUUAACUAGUUGGUUCUUUCAAAAUUGCCUUCCAGCCAAAGGCUGAAUAUUAGAUCC
rnacentral:lncRNA from 1 species